rnacentral:misc_RNA from 1 species
GAAAUGCGAUAAGUAAUGUGAAUUGCAGAAUUUAGUGAAUCAUCGAAUCUUUGAACGCACAUUGCGCCCUCUGGUAUUCCGGGGGGCAUGCCUGUUCGAGUGUUGUAUACAACUAAUCAAGCUUGCUUGACGUUGGGCUCUGCCUUGCCUAGACAGUCAACCCAGCCUUUGUACACACUUAUUAUAUUUAUAUUAUGGGUUGACAUCUUAUCUUAAGGCUAGUCUAAAAUUCAAUGGCUGCUGUUGCGUGGACUCCAGUGCUGUGAUACAAAUCGAAACACGCUGUAGAAGGACAAUGGCAAUGAUGCUAUACUAUUUGCAUAUGACUUAUUCAACCUCGAAUCAGGUAGGGAUACCCGCUGAACUUAA